rnacentral:lncRNA from 1 species
GAGCGUUCCAGGGGGAUUUUCCUGACAGCCUGCAGAAGGGCAGCUUUUCCCCGAUGGUCUGACAAGCGCACUAGUCUGAUGGGGCGACAUCGUUGGACAUGUCCAAGGUGAAGACCACUUCUGUUGGGAAUGCUGGGCACCUGGAAAUACCUUGACACGGGGAUACACAGACUUGAGAUGUCUGAGCUGCAGCUAGACAGGCGAGGGCUUAUGUAAACAACGAGCAAUAUUUACCUGUUGAGCAAGCUGGAAGGGAAAAGACACGGGCCUCAAUUUCUGACUGGGUAUAUCGCUGCCUGAAACAAAUGUCACACUUCCACUGGGCUAGCUGACUUACUACAUUCUGGAUAAUACAGUAUGACUUUGCAAAAGCAUCUUUAUAUCCUAAUGAAACCCAUUAUUAAGUUAUAAGAGAGAGGCAAGAGCACCCUUUGCCUUUUGCCCUUUGCCCUUUGCCUCUUCCUUCCCUUCCAGGCUGGAUAAAAUGUAGAUUCAAUGACUGAAGCUUGAUUAACUUCUCAGAGCAUGAGAUAAUUUGAGAAAUACAGCAACUAACACACACGACAGAGAAGAAAAUACAAUGAGGCUUCAUCCUGGAACCCCUGGAAUGCACACCCCAGAACUCCAUAUCAACCCAGACUAAUGAUGGCUAAGCUUUGACCUGAGAGACACAUUUCCCCAUUGUUAUUGAGGACUUUGGUCAUGUUCAACUAAAAUUAAAUCCAUCUAAAGCACU